GGCCCUAUCGUCUAGCCAGGUCUAGGACACCGGGUUUUCAUCCCGGCGACAGGGGUUCGAAUCCCCUUGGGGCUA
rnacentral:tRNA from 2 species